rnacentral:rRNA from 1 species
AGGGAUUGCCUCAGUAACGGCGAGUGAAGCGGCAAGAGCUCAGAUUUGAAAUCCUGUACGUUAGCGUGCACGAGUCGUAAUCUGCAGAGAAUGUUUCGGCGGAGACACCGGUCAAAAUUCCUUGGAAUAGGAUUACACAGAGGGCGAGAAUCCCGUAUCCGGCUGGACGUCAAAGCUAUGUGAAACUUCUUCGACGAGUCGAGUUGUUUGGGAAUGCAGCUCUAACUGGGUGGUAAAUUCCAUCUAAAGCUAAAUAUCUGCGAGAGGCCGAUAGCGCACAAGUAGAGUGAUCGAAAGAUGAAAAGCACUUUGAAAAGAGAGUUAAAAAGUACGUGAAAUUGUUGAAAGGGAAGCGCUUGCCAUCAG